UCUGCCACGUGGACAGGUUCUUUGCCUUCCUUUUUUGUUCUCUGCUUUUCUAAUUUUCUAAAACCUAUUUCUACCUUUCUAAAACAUAUCAACACACGUGAACUCAACAAAUCCAACAACUACCUUUUUUCAAAUAUUUGAACUAUCUUUCUUGGAAACAGAGAUAUGGCUUUUCUCCUACUCAGACUCUAAAGUCUUUUCAUUUCCUUUCACUCAUUACCUUUCCAGAUCUCUUUUCUAACCCUUUUCCAUCUUCUACUUUCCUCGGUCUUCAACCUUCCUUUCCUCCUCCCUUUUCAUUAUUCAUUCGUCUUCGACCUUCCAACUCACGAAGAUUUGGAGAUGAAAAUGCUUAUUGAUGUGCGAUUCAGAUUUUCGUUUCAAAACUCCUUCGACGAUGCCGCUUCGUAUGGGGUUGUCUGAUCAGAAGCUGCAUAUGUGAUUCUGCCACAAUUGGUAGAUGUUUACGGUCAGAGACGUUUGACAAGUGCGUUGGAGUGGAUGGGAAAACACUCUUUAAGUAUAUUUGUCCUUGUAUAUUCAAACUUGCCGUGAUUUCUAUUCAAGGAUUUUAUUUGAGGAAAUCUGAAAAUAACAUUCUCAGCAGUGAAGUUGUGCUUUCGCGUCGGUUUGUUUACAGUGGCUUUAAAUCAUGGCUGUGUAUUGUGGGCGUGUUGUUAGCUCUCUGAAUCAGUCUUCAAUGCAGAUUAAUAUUAGAAAUUAUUGUAGGAGUGUUAAAAAGAUAUGUAUUUAUUGUCGAGAUAUCGGUAUAAUUAGAUAAAG